rnacentral:rRNA from 1 species
GUGGGGAAUAUUGGACAAUGGGCGAAAGCCUGAUCCAGCCAUGCCGCGUGUGUGAAGAAGGUCUUCGGAUUGUAAAGCACUUUAAGUUGGGAGGAAGGGCAGUAAGUUAAUACCUUGCUGUUUUGACGUUACCGACAGAAUAAGCACCGGCUAACUUCGUGCCAGCAGCCGCGGUAAUACGAAGGGUGCAAGCGUUAAUCGGAAUUACUGGGCGUAAAGCGCGCGUAGGUGGUUUUGUAAGUUGGAGGUGAAAUCCCCGAGCUCAACCUGGGAACUGCCUCCAAAACUGCAUGACUAGAGUACGGUAGAGGGUAGUGGAAUUUCCUGUGUAGCGGUGAAAUGCGUAGAUAUAGGAAGGAACACCAGUGGCGAAGGCGACUACCUGGACUGAUACUGACACUGAGGUGCGAAAGCGUGGGGAGCAAACAGGAUUAGAAACCCUAGUAGUCC